rnacentral:rRNA from 1 species
UACGUAGGGUGCAAGCGUUAAUCGGAAUUACUGGGCGUAAAGCGUGCGCAGGCGGUGAUGUAAGACAGUUGUGAAAUCCCCGGGCUCAACCUGGGAACUGCAUCUGUGACUGCAUCGCUGGAGUGCGGCAGAGGGGGAUGGAAUUCCGGCGUGUAGCAGUGAAAUGCGUAGAUAUGCGGAGGAACACCGAUGGCGAAGGCAAUCCCCUGGGCCUGCACUGGACGCUCCAGUGCACGAAAGCGUGGGGAGCAA